rnacentral:rRNA from 1 species
UACGAAGGGGGCUAGCGUUGCUCGGAUGACUGGGCGUAAAGCGCACGUAGGCGGAUUGUUAAGUCAGGGGUGAAAUCCUGGAGCUCAACUCCAGAACUGCCUUUGAUACUGGCAAUCUCGAGUCCGGGAGAGGUGAGUGGAACUCCGAGUGUAGAGGUGAAAUUCGUAGAUAUUCGGAAGAACACCAGUGGCGAAGGCGGCUCACUGGCCCGGUACUGACGCUGAGGUGCGAAAGC